GGAUUUGAUUGUCUUAGUAGGGACCGCCAGAAUUCUAGGAUCCCUGCAGUUGCUUAAAAAACCUCCAUCAAUGGAAAACUGUAAAUAGAGAAUGGAGCAAAAAGAGUGCAACAGACUUUUCAACCACAGGCAAGACUUCUUUUUAACAACAAGAGGAAAACAAAAUUCAAAUAGAGAAUGCAAGUGAAUUUGAGAUCUCCCAUCUGUAGUAGUGUGUAAAUAUAAGAAAAUGUUUUUGCUGG
rnacentral:misc_RNA from 1 species